GAGGGGGUUAUAAGAUCUGCUAACUCUUUAACC
rnacentral:tRNA from 1 species